UACAGAGGGGGCAAGCGUUGUUCGGAAUUACUGGGCGUAAAGGGCGCGUAGGCGGCCUGUUAAGUCGAACGUGAAAUCCCCGGGCUCAACCCGGGAACUGCGUCCGAUACUGGCAGGCUAGAGUACUAAAGAGGGUCGCGGAAUUCCCGGUGUAGAGGUGAAAUUCGUAGAUAUCGGGAGGAACACCGGUGGCGAAGGCGGCGACCUGGGUAGAUACUGACGCUGAGGUGCGAAAGCGUGGGGAGCAAACAGG
rnacentral:rRNA from 1 species